CUACGGGAUGCUGCAGUCGAGAAUCUUCCGCAAUGGACGAAAGUCUGACGGAGCGACGCCGCGUGACCGAUUAAGCCCUUCGGGGUGUAAAAGUCUUUUUUUAGGGACGAACAAAUGACGGUACCUAAAGAAUAAGGGGCUGCUAAACUCGUGCCAGCAGCAGCGGUAAUACGAGUGCCCCAAGCGUUAUCCGGAUUUAUUGGGCGUAAAGCGUGCGAAGGUGGCUUGGUAAGUCGAAGGUUAAAGCCUGAAGCUCAACUUCAGAUCAGCCUUUGAUACUGUCAAGCUAGAGGCUGGGAGAGGCAAGCGGAAUUGCCGGUGUAGGGGUAAAAUCCGUUGAUAUCGGCAGGAACACCAAAUGCGAAGGCAGCUUGCUGGAACAGUCCUGACACUGUUGCACGAAAGCGUGGGGAGCAAAGAGGAUUAGAUACCCUGGUAGUC
rnacentral:rRNA from 1 species